rnacentral:rRNA from 1 species
CACGUAGGCACCAAGCGUUGUCCGGAUUUAUUGGGCGUAAAGAGCUCGUAGGCGGUUCGAUAAGUCGGGUGUGAAAACUUUGGGCUCAACCCCAAGCGUGCAUUCGAUACUGUUGUGACUAGAGUUCGGUAGGGGAGUGGGGAAUUCCUAGUGUAGCGGUGAAAUGCGCAGAUAUUAGGAGGAACACCGGUGGCGAAGGCGCCACUCUGGGCCGAAACUGACGCUGAGGAGCGAAAGCGUGGGUAGCAAACAGG